rnacentral:misc_RNA from 1 species
UUUCCGUAGGUGAACCUGCGGAAGGAUCAUUAUUGGAUUUUAAACUUCAGGCUGCUGCUGGCUCUCCUCGGAGGGCAUGUGCACGCUUGUUGUCCAUUAUUUCUCCCACUGUGCACAAAUUGUAGACCUUUCAGUAGGCCUAUGUUGUUUUUCACAAUCUCUGAAUGUAAUAGAAUGGUUUUGAAUCUUGGGAAAUACAAUACAACUUUCAGCAACGGAUCUCUUGGCUCUC